GUACUACUAGCAAUCAGAGUCAUCAGUCUGGGACAAGCUGUUCUUGACCGAACUGCUGCCCUUCUUCCACACCACACAGCAUGCAAAAGUCAGCCCUCAGCAGAUCGCUUUGUAGAAUCAGCAGUGUCCUCCUCCAGCGGUCACAACUGAAUUACCAACUAAACGCCAUGAAAUCAGGUAGGAGGUGAGGUACUGAGGUCCCUGCCCCUGCGAUCCAAAGGAAAGGCUGCAUCCCCCUGUAGGCUCCAGCUGCAUUGCAGCAAUCUGCAUUACUGCACCACCACCGCAGCUCGUCAGCUGCCUCCAGGGUCCUGAAUCGACGCUGUUGCGGCCUUGGCCGCAAGAUUCUGCAAAGAUCGCAUCUGGUUAGUUUGCCGGAGCAAUCAUUGUUGACAUAACUAGAUGAUGUGAAAACUUUCUGGUGUCCUCCUCUUGGUCCGAUGCGGUGGGGUGGGGUGUGCCCAUGAACUGUUCGACCGAAUGCCCCACCGGGGUCCCUGACGCCGGAGUCUGGUCGGCCAUGGCUGCCUGCUCUUUAUGGUGCAGAGUGCCGUGGUGGUCUCUAGGGGGGUAGCGUCUCUGCUAAGCGAGAAGCUGUCAGGCUGGCGCGACGCCCCCUGGAUGCUGUGUUGAUCUUCGGCAAGGUUAUCAAUUUUGUGUUUGGGUCUUAGUUUCACUUGAUCAGUGAUUUUGUUCUCAGAUUGAAACCAUGUCACGCAAUGUCAUGGACAAAAGACAUGGCUGUCAUGAAGGAGCAAAACGGGUAUUGUCCAUGGCAACGGCUGGGGCAGGAGUUUGAGGUGAUGCACUGCAUUUCUGUGAAAAAUGGGAGACAUAGCGCCUUGAUUGAUUUUGGGUGAUUUGUGGACAUAGAGGCAGGCUGGUUUAACAUGGGUGGGUCAGGCAGACAACUUCAGCAUGGUAAGCAUAGCCCCAACAGUUCAGCGCAGCGCAAACUUGCCAUUCUUAACAGAGCAUCAUGUGCAAGGGUUCUCUUGCAUGGAUGAUGGACGAGUGGUCUCCGCAAUGGAGGAACCCAAUGGUCAUGGUAUGUGUGUGCAACCUGAAGGCUGAAAGUGCAUCAACAUUGGAUAUUUGCGCAUACAGUUGUCAAUUGAUAAAUCCAAAUCCAUUGAAGCAGUGUGGCAGAGACGAUAUUUGUACCGUUGUUGUUUUGUUCAUGCUUUGGACUAGUGGCAAAUGGGGAGCGAGGAAGAGGCUACUUUGCAUGUUCCUCAAGGAAUGAAGCUGGAAUAUUAUGUAACUUACCGAGGAUAUCUGAUAAUACCAUAAUCUCCAUUUUGGGUGCAUUUCACAACGGAGAUUUUUACAGCAAAUUUGCUUUGUCUGGUAACAUGGUGCCCAUAGCUGGAGCGGUGCGUUUUCACUUCUCAAGGAUCUGCACAAACCAUCUUAGGUUGCAAGUGUUCUAGUGUUUAGCUCAACUAGGUAUUCUUUCAAGUUUCAACUUUUCUGUAUUUGGUUUUCAACCUUGAUUUUGGAGCGACAUGCCUCUGUUAAAGGUAUAAGUUGUUGCGACAACUACGCAGUCAACUUUUCUUUUCUUUCUGCUAUUGAACUACUCCCUAUGUCCCAUAA